rnacentral:tRNA from 1 species
CCUGGUGGCUCAGACGGCAAAGCAUCUGCCUGCAAUGCAGGAGACCUGGGUUCAAUUCCCUGGUCAGGA